GGGGAUAUGGCUCAGUUGGUAGAGUGUUGACCUUGCAUGUACAAGGCUCUGGGUUCAAUCCCCAGCACCCA
rnacentral:tRNA from 1 species